GCCUCUAUAGCUCAAAGGUAGAGCAUCUGUUUUGUAAACAGGGGGUUGAGGGUUCGAUUCCCUCUAGAGGCU
rnacentral:tRNA from 1 species